rnacentral:lncRNA from 1 species
GAAGUAAGAUCUUUUUCUCUGUCUCUCGCUAGAUCUCUGUGCAUCGCUCCUCAUCAUAUAAGUUAAUUUGCUAAAAGGGGAAAAAAAAAGAAUCUUCGCCAUAUGGAAGGUCAUUGGUGAACUGAGGCAAAAAUUUGAAUCAUCUCAGAUAGGAUAAAGACAAUAUUUAGCAACGAUGCAAUAAAAGAUCUUAUAGCCAAAGUCAACAACAGCUACUAAUGCCUUGUGUUUAUCAAAAUUAUUCAAUCAAGGAAAGGAUAAGUUUGAAGCAAUUACAAGGUAUGCUCGCUAAUCUGCAAUUUUUUAAUUUGCAUGAUUCGUUGAUAGCCGAUUAAAUGCAUAGCAGCUUGCAUGUAUUCUGAAACAAGCGCCCAUCUAGAUGGCUAAUGAUUGUAUACCUACAUACUANNNNNNNNNNNNNNNNNNNNNNNNUAUAUAUAUAUAUAUAUAUAUAUAUAUAUAUAUAUAUAUUGAAACUUGUAACAAUAUUUCAUCAAUAAAGAUUUGCAUCAUCAUGUCCCCAUAUUGAUUAGAAAAGUACUGAUGCAACAUAUCGUUCAAUUUGAAUUGAUAAAUGUUUGUAUGUGCACGCCUAUUUUAGGUCACUCGGCGGGUGAAAGGUGGAUCGAAGAAAUGGAAUUGGAGAUCUUCAAAAGAUUAUUUCUUAAAUGGUGCAUACUUUGUUCAAUCAGGAUCAGGGAGUUCUGCUCCAGGUUAUUCUCCAUCACAAAAGUUUAAGGUUGCCAAGGGAUCAACGGUGCCAUCAUUGACUGCAGAUUCUGGCACACUCAGUUGUUUUGUUGGAAAACCAUGUAUCUAGUAAUCCUUAUUGUCCAAUAAGCCCAUAUAUGCAUACUGCACGUUCUUGUAAAUGAACAAUCGUAGAUCAAUAGGAAAAGCUAGGUCUCAUUGUGAUCGCAUUUGCCUCUCUAUACACAUGUUGUAUUUGGUAUUCUUCUAAAGUACGCAGAAGAACAAAUUGUGAUCGCAUUUGCCUCUUUAUGCACUUAUUGUGUUUGGUAUUCUUCUAAAGUAUGCAGAGAAGAACAAAAAAUUGGGAGCAUGAUUGACCGGAUUACCCUACAGAUUUUGUCUCCAUGGUCUAAAAUAUCGGCAAUGAAAGAAGACCAAAGUUAGUUUCACAGCUCAUGAUGUUAUUCAAAAAGACUAGUAAAAAGGCAUUUUUUUGAGUCUUCAAUUCUAUAUAAAUACCCAAGAUCUCUUUAGCAAAUAACCAAUGUGGGACUAAAUAAACAUCUGCAUGGAUUCUCACAGUUAGUGCCCUUUCCAAAAUGCAAGCAAUUACUGCUCAUGCAAUGAAUGUGUAGUUUUAACAUGAAUAUACAGAGGCUAGAGCGUGGAUUAUUGAUGAAGAGUGGCCAAGAAACAAACAACUCUGGCUAGUUCAUCUCUAAAGCCAGGAGAGAAGCACGGAGAACUGGAAAUAGGAGUGACUUAAGACCUUAUACCAAUUUUUGUUCUUCGCCUCUUUUUCCCUGGCUCGGACCAAAGUGCCAGAUUAUUUCAGGCCUUCAGGGAAGAAGUAUUGCCGUUGUGAGAUUAUAACAGACUCGCAUCCGUUUCCAAUGGGAACCCCUAUCCGUAGGAAUGCCGAACUUCUAUCAAGUGACGCCACAAUUCACCUGAGCUUGAAGUGCCUCGAACCUCCUUAGCUUUAGCUAUCCAGUCUACAUACAAAGUGGUCCAAACUCACGACAUAGUCUUUUUUCACCUAUAACUUUCUUGGCCUCUAGUGGUAGAAAAAUAAAUAUCUUGGAAUGGAACAUAGGAAGCAAUCGCGACGGUGUAGGGGAAGGGCAUGCGGAUAGGCGCAAAGCAUCGCACGGGAAGCAAGCUCUUGUGCCAGCAUCGGCACAUGGACAUUUCGUUCCGUUCCAUAUAAAUUAAACCAAUUUCUAGGCUCCACCCAUUCCCACUGCUGAAAGCAACGUUCCACGCCAUAGAUUGAGCUCAACUUUUCCCACAAAUGAUAGAUGGAGAUCGGCAAGGUGAUUGAUGGGAAUAUCAGAGCCAUUCCUUCAAAUGAUAGAGCCAUCCAUCGAAGCCCCUCGCUACCGUUUGCACCUGAGAUCGACAUAAUUGUGGCUAGAAGAUGACCUGGAGCUACUAAUUUGAGUCGGGCCCUGGAUUGGGUCCAUUUGAGUCUGUGUUAUUUUUGUUCUAUUUCAUUAUUAGGUAUUUUUAUUUGAGUUGAUUUGAUUGUUGAGUCAAGUGAUUAGAUCAAUUGAUCAAUAUAAGGCCUAAAUUAUAAAGGUUCAAUGUUGGGUGUGAUCAAUUGGUUUAAUGGUCUAGUGUUAGUAGGAUUAAUUGAUUUGAUGUAUGGCCCAAUGUGUUAGGGCUCAAUUAUUGUUUUGUUGGUCAAUUAUUUGAUUUGACGUAAGACCUAUAUAAAGGCCAAUUCCUCAUGAAUUAGGACAAUUGAUGAUUGAAUGAAAACUCCUUUCUCUUUGGCCCCCGCCUCCUCUCUUCUCUUCUCCCUUCUCCGCGCCGUGCGCGGCUUCUCUUCUCCCUUCUUCUCUUCACGCCGUGCGGUGAUCCCCUCUUUCUUCUCUUCUCCCGCGCCUCUCAACCUCCUUUCCUAUUUUGGUGUCUUCCUACUCCAACAAGGAAUCAGAUUUUCUACAUCAAAGGCGUCCCAUCAACAAGUAUCCUAAUCCAAAUAGGAAAAGGAUCUUCCUCCAAGCGCCUCCAACCACAAAGAGGUUUUCUUUGACCAACAAGGACUUCAUUCUCCCACACACCUUCCCCUUGGUUUCAUCCCAUGAACUAUCUAAGAAGGACCCUUUGUUCAACGAGGAAGUCCUCACGCCCACCCCCUCACGCCACCACAUCACGCCAACCCAAUCUACUUCAAACUAGGAGUCCUAGUCUCCAAAGGAUUCCUCCUUUAUCGGUCCGCACAUGAUCCUUUCUUCCUUCAAAUCUGAGCCUUCCACCUUCAGAUCUAACAUCAGCCCGUGCAUCAGGAGUAGCCCUUCCUCCGCGGGGCAUCAUCCAGCCAUCCAUCAUCUCAUUAGCAUUCAUUCCCAACGCGCAACGAUCUAGAUUUAGCAAAUCAACUUGCUGAUUUUUUUUGCGCAGCAACCUUCAUCUUCGUCAUCGCUUGAGGGUCCACCAACGAAGGGUUCUAAUCCUCUUCUUUCCUACAAGUAAUAGGUUCCUCCUUCUUCUGGAUUUGCUUACUAAUUUAUGUUCUAUGUUUGCUUGCAUGAAAUCUAUAUCGUUGAAAACUUACUUUGCUGAUGAAAUUUCAGAACUUAGAUUCAUUCAUUUGCACACCCAUCCUACCAACUCUUUUAAAAUUUUUGUUUUUAAAUUAGCACACCCUAGCAAAAAAAAGUUUCUCAACAUAAUACUUUAGGACCAAAACAACCAUAAUACUUGUUUGCAACCUAAUCUCUUAAAUUGAUUAAUCUCAUACCUUAACCCCGAAUAACAAAAGUAAAAAUUAGCAACCAUUAAAUUUUAAGUUACUCUUGUGAGUGCUUGCUGAUCUCUAAAAUCAUAGUAGAUUGCGUUAAUAGGUUGUCCUACUUUUCGGGCCCCACCUAUGAAUAUGGUUUGUGCACCAUUGAGUCUUUUAACAUAUGAACAUCCUCAUCCUCUGUUAUGGCCAAGGUUUGCACCAAGGAUGGGUUAGCGAAGUUUACCAAUUUACCCUUGCUCAAAUUCCCACCCACCGCAUGAACACUAUAAACUGCGACUUUGUGCAAUGUAACAACCAUAAGCUUGGAAUCAUAGCAAGGGAUACUUGGAGAGGAUGAGCGGAGGUAAAUUGACGGUGUUACGGGAGUAUUCACAGCAUUUCCAACUCUCAGAAAUGUGCUUGUUUUGGAUGGAAAACAGAGGAACCAACGAGCUUUCCCUUAUUUAUUAAGAUAAGAAUUAUUUACAAUGCAGGAGUAAAGAACAGGAAGAACAAACAAGAAUACAAGUUAGAUAGCGAAAUGUUGGCUCUGCGAUCGACAUGUGGACUUAGGGACGGACCAGUGCCUUUUUUCUGUGCUUGAAGGAGAGGGAUAUAUUAAGAAGAUGAAGAUAAGUACAGAGAUGCAGGGUCGCUCCAAAGCUGUCGGUGGCCAUCCUUCACUCUCGGGGAACAAGGAUUCUCCCAGAAGUGAAAAGUGUAAAGAAUCUUUUGGAGAAUGGUAUAGAUAGAGCAACUCUUUCUGGUGAAGAUUCUAGCAUUUGGCUCAUACCAUAUUUCCCAACAAAUGGUUGCAAACAAUUGAUUCCCAGCUUUCUUCUUCGUCAAUAGACGGUUGUUGAAUCUCCAAUCAGUUCAUAAAUGGUGAAGAUUUGUCGGCGAGCUCCUCAAUUUUAGUUGGACGUUGAUAGAAUGCCAAAUGCUUCUUGUUAAGGGGCAUCUUACCAACCAAUGAUCGACGGAUUCAACUCUGCCUCCACAAAGAACAUGACUUGAGCUCACGCUCCACCCUUUUCUAACUGAGAAUCUCCCCGUUAUAAAGCUUGUUCCUCAAUGCCAACCUUAAGAACACUUUCACUUUCUCAAUGUCAAUGCCAACCUUAACAACCUAAAGCUUGUUCCUCAAGUGACCUUGUAAUGAAAAAAAGAGGGUAAUGCUGUCAAGACACAGUUAAUUAAAUUGUGUCUACUUUUCCAUGAGAGAAGCCAUCAUUUCCAGGUUGCAAGCCUUGAGAUGAUCUUUCUUUGAGAGGCAACCGGUAGUACUUAGGAAGCUUGUCACAAAGGGGCAAGCCCGCCACUGAGGUGGUACCUCAGUGGAACUGGGCCUUACUUCCAACUAAGCGAUUCCGAGUUCGAAACAAGCGGACGUCAAUUAAAUUGUGAAGACCGGAUACUUCCUGCUCGGACGCGGGGUCUAGAAGGGUUUAUUGGUCCGCCGGUAGCCUCGAUGGUGUUAGGUGUGACGUACUCACACGGAGGGUAACCGUGCCGGAGCCUAGAGGGAUAACGUUCCGGGCCCACGGAUGGGAAGGGUAUGAGUAAAACCGGCUGGCGUGCCCAACACACGAUCAUUUUUGCCCGCAUCGAAUAUUCUCCUGGCGAGGUGGGGGCCCAGUGGGGGCUGCUAUACGGGGGUGGGCUUGUCUCUUCCUCCCCCCUUCCCCUUUUGUCAAAGCAAAAAAAAAAGGGAGGGGGGGGGGGGGCAAGCCCACGUAAGUAAGUCAUGGAAGAGAGCUUUUCUUACGGUUCAUCCAGGAGGCAAAUAGAUCUGCUUCCCUAGUUAAAGGCUGUUUCUGGCCUAGCCUCAGGGGUAUAAGGGUGGAUAUAAUUAAAAGCUGUUGAGUUAAAUGUAAUUUAUUUCGAAUUAUAUUUAUGAUUAUAUAUACAGAUAUUUGAAAAAUACAGAUUUUAAUAGUUUUAUGUUUUGAAACGGAAUUUAUUAUAUCUUUAAAUUGGUUUACCGUAAUUUAUAUUUAUAUUUUAUAUUAUUAUAUGGAUUGUCUAAUUAAGAUAUUUAGUACUUAUUAGGCUGUCUAGCUAGCACAUCAUACAAUUUCUUGCUAUUUUUAUAGAUUCGAAGAAUUAGCUCAACCUAAGGUGUUCCAAUAUGGAAGAGUAACUAGAAGAACUGUGACUCAAGUUACCUUAGAUUAGAAUUGAAUUAAAUUGAUGUAUUACUUUAGACUAAUGUCAAAAUUGUGAGACAUUAUAAGUUGAGUUAGUUAAUAAAAUAAAAAUUGCAUAUUAUUAGUUUAAAUUAUUCCGCUGCAUAUUGAGAACAUUAUAUUGAGAUGCUUUGCAUGCUGGCAGGGAGAGAUUUCUAUGAGCGUGCGGCGGUUGCUGCGACCCCGAUGUGCGAUCUCGGGUCCGGGGUGCGACAGCCUUUUUUACUGUUCAUCCAGGAGGCAAAUAGAACCGCUUCCCUAUCUUCCAUGUUCAAGCAAUAUAUGGAGCUCUUAUGAAAAUUAAUUUUUAAACCCCAAACACCUUCGAAAGCAAGAAGUAUUGCUUUGGCUGCCACAACGCUCUGUGUCUUCUGUUGGGGGAAAACCCAAGUCAUCCUGGAACGGAGGCGCCCGACCAGGGAGCGCCCGACCAGGGAGCGCCGACCAGAGUACGCCGACCAGAAUGCGCCGACCUCGCGACGCUCAAGUUGAAGGCGCCCAACUGGGCAACCGGCUCGACUCGGUGCCGAGCCCUAAAAUGCCUUGUCCAAAUAUUUGACCCCGGCCUAUUCAUUGAGGAAACCUGACCCUAGAUAUCCAACGCCGCCGUACUCUGCUACUGUCGUCAAGCCAUUAAUGCGCGUGGCCUCUGCAGGCCUCCAGUGCACUCAACCAUUAAUGAACGCGGCUCAAGAUGAUCUCCGGAUCACUCGACCAUCAAAGCGUAUGGUCUUCCCUGAUCACCGGUUCACUCAACAAUUAAUGCGCUUGUUAUCUACGGACCCCAGGCCCUCCACAGCGGGCAGUUGAACCACUCCACCAGGUCCGAUCAACCACGACAAUUCGCUGACUCCGGUCUGAUCCGGUCUCAUCCCCCACGACGCCAUUAAUGAACAUGAUCGUGCUUAAUUAUCACAAAGAGGACAAUCUGCCCUGUCACAUCACAGGUAACCCAACUCCCUCUAUAAAAGGAGAAUCCCUCCAUUUGAGGGGGGAGACAGGAAAAACUUUAACUUCUGACUGCUAUCUCCACUCCUAUAUUGGCCCCUCUGACUUAAGCAUCGGAGGGCCGGCGCCGGAAAGCCCGGCCACCGGCUUCUUGCAGGUCCUCCGGAGGACGCCACCAGCCGACGUACCGCCACCCACCGUUCCAGCAGCGGAGCUCCUCCCCCCUCAGCCGACGAUCGCCCCCGGGUCCAAUUUUCAGCAACAUCUUCCAACAACAAUGUGUCACCUGCAAACUGGAGGCUAGUUAAUCCACUAAAUUCCACUUUGUUGCCAAUGCCUUCAAUCAAACAGAUGAAUGCUGCCUGCUUAAGGAGUCUAGAAAGAGCAUCAGCAGCCAAAAUGAAAAGGGCAGGCAAUAGAGGGUCAUCUUGACGAAGUCCUUGGUUGCAUUUGAUCCAUCUUCCAGAUUUUCCGUUGGCUAGAAGAGCAAUGGAGGUUGAGGACAAUAGGUACGGAUCCAAUUAAUCCAUCUACAAGGGAAACCUCUAGCCUGCAGCACAUUAAGGAGAAAAUCCUAAUUUAUCCUAUCAAAAGCUUUUUCACAACCCAACUUGCAUGUUAUGCCUUCCAAACCAGACCUCUGCACUCAAGUAAUUCUCAAGAACAUAGCGAUCUUUAACAAAUGCAGAUCAUAAAUCAUCAAUAAGGAGAAGGACAAACCUUUUGAGUUAUCUUGUAUAGACUAUUUAGGAAGCUGAUUGGGUGAAGAUACUGGGCGGUGAGAAAGCCUUCUUUCCUGGGAAUCAAGGAGAUGUAGGCAAAAUUCAAUCUAGUGAGAUCGAGAGUACCUUCAUGGAAGUCCUCAAGUAGGAUAACGAGAUCAUCCUUAACGAGCUCCCAGAACUUUUGGAAGCAGGAGAAAGUAAAGCCACCAAGGUCUGGAGGCUUCAUGCCAUCAAAAGUGACUGCAGCCUGUUUGAUUUCCUCCAUAGAAAACUCCAAGACAAGCUCGAUUGACCUGAGCCAUAAAGAAGGUCCUUGUUGAUAGAGAUUUUUGAGGCAAAAGCAUUGCCAAAGAGGCUCUUGAAGCAUGCAACUUGAAGGCAAUGUCUUCCUCCCAUGUGAAUUGUGUGUCAUUAUCCGACAGAGAAGCUAUAUAAUAGUUUUUCCUUUUCCUCCCCGAAGCCACUUGCUGGAUCUCUGUCUCCCUCUUUGAGUCAAGUGAUCUUUACCUUUGCCCCCAAUAGAUUUUUUCUUUCUGAUGAUACAGGACAUCCAGUGAUUGCCGAAAAAUCCUCCUAACGUUGAAUUAUGUAGGUGAGAGAUCAACUGAUUCCUCCUUUUUGUCGAGCACCUCCAUAUAUCAUGCAAUAGUUUCUCUCUCAAAGCCUUGUUUGAAAUUUAUUUGGGGGCUGGUCAUACCUUGAGAGCAGAGAUUUUCAACCCAUGCCACAACAGAGUUAAAGAUUGUCACAUCCUAAGACCUCAUCCAAAAAAACUAAUCGAAAGAUAUUAUUUAGAUUUCUUGUUCUUUACAUAUAGCCGAUCUAAGACUAAAUAUACGUCCGCUUGCACCCUCGCAAAAACUGCCUCGCAUACUUUUCCAACAACCCUUCACAAUAUCCUCCAAAUUCAGUUCUUCGAGUCGAAAUAUCUUAGGUCCGGCAUCAGGAAAAGCUUCUUCUAGGCUGUUGAUAUUCUCCAGAGAAGGAUAAGAAUGAUACCGCAGUCUGGGAAAGUAAAUUAAGAGCAGAGAAGAAUUGCAUCGCCAGUUGGGGCAAGUCUCGCCCCGAAUGGGAUAUGAUGUGGGAGUGCGUUGUGAUAUUUAUCAUAAGCGAGAGCACAAUAAACGGAGGGCACGCGUCGCAUGUGCACUCCCAAUAUCACCAUUUCACUGUAGUUGUGCUCGUUAAAUUGAUGACGGGGGCAAACUCUUUGAACUAAAAUUUAGGUUUUUUGUGAUUUUUUAUACGAGUAUCAUAACCAAGGAGUUGAGUGAGUUCUGAUGUUUGUUGGACCAUUUUUGAUGGCCUUGGGUUGCAUUGGCUGUUGGAUCAUGAAUCGGUAUGCCUGUGAAGGUACGUGCAUGAUCUGGAAAUCCUCACCGUAAGUUCGGAUCCUCUCCAUUCCCCAGCCUCAGGCGUGUUAUUCCACCCUCGCGACAUGGCCCUUCUUUACACCUUGGCUUCAUAUCUAUUCUUUUGCUCGGCUCUCGUCCCUCUUUUCUCCGCGGCAUGCGACAACACCACCACCGGCGACUCGCCACCCCAUCUCUCCGAGAAGAACAUGAACCAGAUCGAUGCUUGUUGGUGUUCCAAGCCGGGAUGGGCAGCCAAUCGUAAACGCUUGGCCGACUGCGCUGUGGGCUUCGGGAAGGGUGCGUUGGGAGGCAAAAAUGGAGCAAUCUAUACGGUCACCGACCCCUCCGACGAUGCCGAGAACCCGGAGGCAAAGACAUUAUUUAGCACGAUGCAAUAAAAGAUCUUCUAGCCAAAAUCAACAACAGCUACUAAUGCCUUGUGUUUAGCAAAAUCAUCCAAUCAAGAAAAGGAUAUGUUUGAAGCAAUUACAAAACGAUGCAUAUCCAAAACCAGAGAAUGUUGUUGUUUUAUGAAAAAAAUAUUAUUUUUCAAUAAACAAAUAAAUCUUUCAAAUGCCAUGCUAAUAUUCCAAUGUGUUUCGCCAUAUGUGGAGUUGAAUAACUUGUGGAAGUUAAUAGAAUUGCUAUUUGAAUCUGGAACUAACUAUUGGCCAUAACCAAACCAUGUCUUGAUCCAUAGUUUGGCUGUGGGUCCAUUGAACCUGAAUCAUGGGCUAAUCAAGUCGGUUUUAGGCGUAACUCAAUUUGAAAGUUUUUUAUUCGAAAAAUCAAGGCCAAUAAGAAAAUCUUGACCUAGCCUAACCCAACCAUGCCCGACCACUCUCCCUUUCGUAGCUCAUAUAUAUCUUCUAUGGGUUCGGAGUUGAAUCUUUCACAAAAAAGAAUGAUUCACUUUCUUGCACAACAUCAACCAUUGAAUCCUACAAUGGCACUUCGAGAUCCGUGCAAUAGAUGGAAGAAAAAGGUUGAAGUGCUUUCAAAGCUAUGCAAGGCAUUAUCCAAUGGUUGACAUCAUGAAAGAAGAUCAAUCGUUCUUUUAUAUGAAAGAUACAACCCAAACCCUUCUUUUAUCCUCUCCUCCUACUCUCUCCUCACCCGCUCCUCUCCUUUGGUUCUCCACUUUCUUCUCUCCUCUCCUCUCUCUUCUCACCUUUCCUUCUCCAUCCGUCCUCUCUCCCCCCUCCUCUCCCCUCUAAUCCUUUUUAUAACCCUACCACAAAAUCUAGCAUUUCUAUCAUAGGUUGCUGUAAACAAGUAAUAUGUUGAGUUUGAGUCAACCUAGUUGACCCCAGGUCAAGUUGACGUCCGAUCCCUAUAAACUUGACAUAAGACACUACAUCAUCCAUAGCCAUCCGUAGGAGUUACAUCUAGAAUUAAAGUCAGAAACCUACACAAAAUUUGGAUCAUAAUUAGUUAGAGUUUAGCUAAAUUAUAUCAAGAGUUAGAGAUAUAAAUAAGACAAUAAGUUUGGCAUUCUUCACACUUAAACCUACAUGGAGUUACUAGUUGUUACUUGUGGAGUUAAAGUUUUAUCUCAACUUGUAUUAAUUCUUUAUGUAACAUGUAACUGCUCUUAGUCUAGCAUAAGAAACAUCUUGCUUGAAUGUUAUCACCACUUGCCCAAGCCUUUUGUCGAUGAGCUAGAGGUAUAGGGUACAGAAAAAGGAGAUUAGCCUCUACCAGUCUAGUAGGUUAGGACAUAUAGGGUAGGAAAAAAAAAGACAACAAUUUAGGUCAUGACAUAUAUUUGUAGCUAUCAUUUUGUAGUCGCACUAAAUCCACCACUAUGGAUGUUUGGGACCUGAAAACUGGUCAGGCCAUCAUUCCACAAUCUACAGAUCUUAGAAGGUGUGAAUCAAAGCGUUAGCAUUGUUUCUUAAUAUAUCCUAAAUUAUCGUCACAUAUGAUCUCCUAGGCCAUCCUUAAAAGUUUUUCCAACCAAAUUCAUGUACUAUUAAUUUUACAUAGAGAAGGAAACAAGGAUCCUGUUAGAAUCAGGACUUACGAUGACAGGAUCCAUAGCAGCUAUAAAUAUAGGAUUCUGGCUCCUCUAUCCCCUCAUCAAAAGAUAGCCUUAAGAAAUGGAUCCCGUCAAUCCUCUCAUGACAGUUAAAGUGUGAGUAGAGAGACGACUAGAUCAUCCUCCGGCCCUGAGUAGGCCGUAAAAAUGUUUAAUUUCAUGGCACAAGGUAUGCUCGCUAAUCUGCAAUUUAUAAAUUUGCAUGAUUCAUUGAUAGCCGAUUAAGUGCAUAUCAGCUAUUGCUGCAUGUAUUCUGAAACAAGCACUUAUCUAGAUGGCUAAUAAUUGUAUACCUACAUACUAGCUAAAAUAUAUAUAUAUAGAAAAUGUAAUGGUGUUCAUCAAUAAAUUAAGAUUUGCAUCAUCAUGUACCCAUAUUGAUUAGUAAAGUACUGAUGCAACAUAUCAUUCAAUUUGGAUUGAUCGAUGUUCGUAUGUGUACACCUAUUUUAGGUCACUCAGCAGGUGGAAGGUGGAUCGAAAAAUUGGAAUUGGAGAUCUUCAAAAGAUUAUUUCUUAAAUGGUGCAUACUUUGUUCAAUCAGGAUCAGGGAGUUCUGCUCUAGGUAAUUCUCCAUCACAAGAGUUUAAGGUUGCUACGGGAUCAACGGUGCCAUCAUUGACUGCAGAUUCUGGCACACUUAGUUGUUUUGUUGGAGAACCAUGUAUCUGGUAAUCCUUAUUGCCCAAUAAGCC